rnacentral:lncRNA from 7 species
AAGCUUUCUUUUUUUCAGCAGGGUUCAUCUGGCAGCUGCCUGAAGUUAGCAGGAGAUGAGAGAGACUGCCUUCCCUGCAUCCUUUACCACUGAAUGGGCCCUUUCUGGAUGUGGACUUCUACAUCAGUUUGCAUUACCAACAUGGAUCACCAGGAGCACAUCUUGAUGGACCCAGCAGAAAAGAAGCAUAUGACAUAUGUCACUCAAAUCAUUAGGACAGAGACAUUUCUUCCAUUUUCCUAGUGGCAGAUGUCAACUAGAUUCAACCAUAGAAUUUAAUCUAUGCAGCCACCCCUCCUUGUCAGAGCAGGAAUACUUCAACGGUAAUUAAGUGCCAAAAGCAGUGAGUGAGCACUGAAGAAGGGAUGACAUGGGGGCUGGACACGUACUACCUGUCUCUUGUGAUAACAACAGAAGGCCGCAUUGACUCUCCAGGGCUGUCAGAUGAAACAUCAGUGUAUUAAGAAACUGGAAUUGUUGUCAGGUUCUUCCUAUGCCCGAGGUUUGUUUUUGUGAUGGAGCAAGGGUGGAAAGCAAGAGAAAACUAGGCUUGACCAAAACCCAUCUGAAGCACUAGAAGCCUAUCUGUCGCCUUCCAUAGCUUUAGAUCUGGAGAUUCUCUCUGCCCUUUUGUGGGUUUGGCCUCAUGAUAAAUUCCAGAGCCAGGGAAUUCUAAGCAGAGACAGAUUAGCAUCUUGUUUUCAGAAGCCUUAAACUGGGAUAUAUGGAUCUGUUUAUUUUGCAGAUGCCAAUAGCUAACACAUCCAUUGUGUUCAACAUACACAGUGCUCUGAAGCUGCUGCUAAAAGAGGACAGAUAUUUUAGCUGGCUUAUUAUCAGCCUGCAUGCACUGGAGAUGGAUCCCUGGCUUUUAGUUCACCCUUGCUCUCAGUUUUAUUUCAGCACAUUGUCCUAUUAAUGAUCAGCACUCUUUGAGCUGCAUUUUAUUAAGUUGCCUGGAGGCCCUCUGGCAUCAGCAAUGUAAAUAUACUUGUGGUGAUAUUAUUAUUAUUAGAUUCAUGCUAAUAAAAGGAUAACAACCC